GUGGGCCUGAAAUACAGUGAUAUUUAACAGCCUGGAACAAUCCGCACAAUGCGCUGCAGAGCGCGCCACAUACCUGUACCGGAAACGGCAGCGGAAAGUGGGGAGAGGAGCUACCUCAAUAUAUUUAACACCGGGUGAGAUGCUUACACAACAGUGAUUGGAUAAUUAUUCACCUGAUGCACACAAGAAAAAAAGUGCAUUUCCUUGUUACCAGCCGGUCACAUUUGCUAAUUUCUCAAUCAUGUCCAUUUAAGAAGCACAAGCUAGUGGAGCCCUUGGAGAAGCUCAAGGGAGAACAUCGGCUCUCUUGACAUAAUGUGAUGCAGAUCUUCUGCCAAACUGAUCAGCAGUGUAUCUAUUAUCUCUGCUUUGUGGAUGAAAAUAAAGCUGCAACAGAAAGGACUGAGAGGCAGAGAGAGCUCGGGCUGAGGAGAAAAACAAACCAGCAGAGACUCCAGGACAGAGAUAAAGAUGUGAAGCUGCUUCAGCAGGAGGAGGAGGCCAUCAAUGGCAAUGCUGAUAAAGCAGUGGAGGACAGUGAGAAGAUCUUCACUGAACUGAACCGUCUGGUGGAGAGAGAGAGAGAGAGAGAGAGAGAGAGAGAGAGAGAGAGAGAGAGAGAGAGAGAGAGAGAGAGAGACUGGCUUGUUUGAGAGAGGAAGGCUCCUUUGAUGACAUUGAUGAGGAAUCUAAACUAGAGGAGAUCAUAGCAUAGGAACAUCCAUCCAUGAAUGAAAUAACACAGGAAAGGAAUAUGAGUCAUUUUGUCACAGGAGCGCAGUGACUCAAUGUCAGACAGGGCAACCGAAGAUGGACCUUGAGGCAGACCUCCGAAGUAUGAUGUCAGAUAGGGAGUGGCAGGAAGUUAUGGACACAGCCUUCAGGAUGAUGAAGGAAUUGUUUGAAAACUCUCCCAACCCUCCCACUUCACUUGAGGAGAUGGGUGUGGCCCUGGAGAUGUUGGGGGAAACGUUUCCAGAGAUACCAAACCCUUCAACUGCACCUUUACCUACUGUCCCUGCCACGACCCUUCGGUCUCAGAGAUGUAGAGUUCCUGGGGAGGUAGCAGCUCCUAUCAGCCUGGUGCAACCAUUUAAGGCCCCUGCCGUACCAUCAUGUCUGCAUCUCAACAACAAAGCUGUUGGAUUGGUGUAUGUAUCGCACACAUGAAUUCAAAUUAACACACAACUGUGAGCUUCUGUUUGCAUGUUUAACCACACUUGUUUGGUCAUCUAAUGCAGUGGUCCCCAAACCCCGGGCAAAGAGUAAACAACUUACAUUUUUUCUGUUUUAUUUAUUAUCUGAUUCUGAACAGUGUUUUAUUUUGAAAAUGACCGUAUCUUCUCCGUUACGACUCAUGCUUUACGCAUGUCAAGACGCUUGUCUCGGUCACUUGACUUUUUCCACUUAACACAAACCCACACAGUAUUUUUCUGACCCAUUUGUCAACAAAUCGGCCUUAAAAGUAUGUUCUAGAAAAGAACUCUGCCGGUGUUCUGGAUUAAAGUCAUGGAAGAAUACCCUGAGAUUGCCACAACAGCACUAAAAACUCUGUUCCCAUUUCCGACAUCAUAUCUGUAGUGACAUAGGUGGAAUUUUUUUUAAUUAACGAAUUAAUUCUUUAUUUGAAUAUAAAAAAACUCUCCAAAGUGCACAGAAACGCAGUGUGUGCGUGACGGAGCUUUGGUAUCCGUCCGUCUCCGUCUUGCUGGUAACUUACUACGCAUAAUUAAUUUGAGGUCGCAUAUUAACAAAUUCGUAAAAUUCGUAAAAUACAAAAUAUCUACCGAUGUCACCAGAGGCUGUACCAGAGGGCCUCCGUAGUGAGGCUCUGUACCCACACCUUAAAGGCCGGUCCGUGGAAAUAUUGUCUGACAUCCAACCGGUCGCACGCAAAAAAGGUUCGGGACCGCUGAUCUAAUGUAUCUGUCUGAUUGUGUUUAUGUAGGAAUACAGAGGCUGUUAAUGGGACUCAAACCAAUACUGCUCCUGAUACUGCUGCUGAUCCUCCUCCGAACAUUUCACAGAGGAUGCAUGAUCAUGACUACAGUCAGCCAUAUAUCAAGAAGCCAUCCAACGCGUUCAUGAUCUUCAGGAAGGAGCAGAGUCCCGUUGUUGCGGCCGAGCUACAACAAGGUGACUCUGCCUCUGUGAACACCAUCCUUGGACAGAGAUGGAAGGCCCUGUCAAAAGACCAGCAGGCCAAAUACUACAACCUAGCUGAGAUGGAGAGGACACUCCAUAAUCAGCUGCACCCUGAGUGGUCAUCCAGUGAUAACUAUGGGAAGAAUAGGAAGCGGGGCAAGCGGGGGAAGAGGAAUGUUCCCAACUGGACUAAAUGACUGUAUUUGCCAUGGGACACUUCAACAGGGGACUUAGAGCCCUCCUCCCGUCACUGCAUGUUGUCACCUGUCCUCCUCUCCAGAUUCUUUUCUUUGCUUCAUUAGGGCCCGAGCACCUCCGGUGGGAGGCCCUAUUGUAUUUUGAAGAACUUGUAUUUCCCUUUUGGGGCUUUUUCAGGGCCUGGACAUGAUUAAAGGACUUAAGAUUCUAGAGCCCCCUGAUGGCAACAGGAAAUGUCAUUAGUCAUUCAUUUCAAGCUGUGUCAAAAGGGUGUCAAGACAUUGAUAAUGAAGGCAUAACAUUACUGUGUAUUUGUCAUGUAUUUGUAUUUUAUGGGCCAAACUAAAAAUCCAAGUUCAGGUUAAGCAGAUUUUUCUGAAAGAUGGUUUCUGUUGACUCAGGUAAUUUUUAUGACAUUAAUAGUAAUAUAGUAAUAGUAAUAAACCACCACUCAUCCUCACCACCUUCUGCAGAG